rnacentral:rRNA from 1 species
UACGGAGGGAGCUAGCGUUGUUCGGAAUUACUGGGCGUAAAGCGCGCGUAGGCGGUCGGGUAAGUCUGAUGUGAAAUCUCACAGCUUAACUGUGAACUGCAUUGGAUACUAUCCGACUCGAGGAAUGGAGGGGAGACUGGAAUUCUCGGUGUAGCAGUGAAAUGCGUAGAUAUCGAGAGGAACACCAGUGGCGAAGGCGGCGAUCUGGGAAGAUACUGACGCUGAGGUGCGAAAGCGUGGGGAGCAAACAGG